AGCAGUGCUCGUAGCGGAAUUGCUUCCAGACAAGGUGCUCUACUGCACGGCGACUCGUGUGGCGGAAGAAGCCGAUCCCACAGCGAGACAUCAGCCUGCACUGGCGGAGCGAAGCUUGAUUGACCGAGGCUACGCGAUUUCCUGCACGGCGGCCGCCACACUGCGGAAGAUCGACGGCAACAUCAGAGGAGCGAAUGCGAUGUGGAUGCUUCACGCAAGAAACCUCUGUGAAAAGGGGAGUCCACAACCUUUGGUCAAGCAAGUGUCUUGCUCCUGUGCCCAACCACGCUCUUUCUUCCGUCUGCAUCGAGCCUACCGGACCAAGCGCAGUCGUCGAGUGUCAAAAGAAGGCCGUAAACGAGAAAAAUGUUCUAGUGAACUUGAGUUUCACAGGCUGUACGAGCAAUUUCUCGUAGCUAACAGUCCACGACAACCACGGCACACUGCGCUGCAGUGAACAGUUUCUUAAAACUGCUCAUUUUUCUAUCGGUCAAGGAUGACCCGAGCAUUACAGUGAUUUCUAUCGCCAGUGUCAUCGAAGUAUGAACACUCAGUGGUCUUCAAUAUUGUUAAUAAAAUCUGAUUGAAGCGCCA